rnacentral:lncRNA from 1 species
UUGGAUAUUGAUUCCCCCUUGCAUAACUGAAAUUUGGAUGGUCCCUCCAACCUGGAUUAUAUUGCAGAUCUCUUUGGUAGUCAUGGUAGUGGUCUGUCCUAGCAUAGCCAUAGCUCAGAUUGUCUCCCCAACCUGUAUUGUAUGUGUCAAGGUAGGGAUUAUGUCUUGGCUGUCCAUAGAAUCCUUCAAAUGCAUGUGCUUGUUGAAGUUGUUGAACUUGUCGAGCUUGACCAUAAUUUCUCACAAUAGAGGUUAGUUCAGAAAUUUGAGAAGAGAGAAAAGACAUACUUAC